UCCUACGGGUGGCAGCAGUGGGGAAUAUUGCACAAUGGGCGCAAGCCUGAUGCAGCGACGCCGCGUGAGGGAUGACGGCCUUCGGGUUGUAAACCUCUUUCAGUAGGGAAGAAGCGUAAGUGACGGUACCUGCAGAAGAAGCGCCGGCUAACUACGUGCCAGCAGCCGCGGUAAUACGUAGGGCGCAAGCGUUAUCCGGAAUUAUUGGGCGUAAAGAGCUCGUAGGCGGUUUGUCG
rnacentral:rRNA from 1 species